CAGGGAUCACUCAGCUUCCUACCAUCCUCACCAAGCAGAUUAGCUUCAUCAAUCUCUGCUCCCCGGCCUCGUUCUACAGAUCCAGGCACAUGACGAGCAGCCUCAAGAAGAUCACGUCCUCCCAACUCUCCCAUAGCCUCGAGAAUCCUUCAUCUUCAUCCUCCACCAUCUCCAGCAGCCUCGAGGAAAUCCAAUACGCAGUCUCAAUCCUCCUCUUCUCGUCCUAGCAGCAUGCCACCUUCGGCAAAAUAUUUUAAUCCUUCGGCACCGGAACCUCGAACCUCAGCCUCAUCCAAACCUUCGAGGACCAGUUCUCCAUCCUCGUCACAAGCCUCCUCAGUUCCUAGUACACCUCGGUCCUCGACCUCCAGUCUAGUCCAACAUAUUGAUAUUAAGGAUCACAGGGGACGUCCUACUACUCUGGAUCAUCUACGUCCUCAUAGUGACGUAGCAGGCUCUCUGGAGGACGUGAGAGGUCAGAGAAAGGAUCGUAGCUCAAGUCCCAAACAUAGUCCGAGAAUGUUUCGCAAGCUGCAUAUUGUGAAAUCAGGAAUCAGUUUUGUUCAUAAUCUUAAAUUAGGGGAGUAGAACAAUAUUUUGCUGUACACUGUAUAGAGUAGGUUUUCUGUACACUGUACAGUGUACAGAAGAAUUAAGCAGUUUGCACUUAUUAAAGCGUGCGUUUUCAAUCAUUAUACAACUUAUUUAUAUAGAAUACCAGUACACGUCUUUAAAACAUGUGCACAAUUCCGCAUCAUUCCUUCAGAGGAUUGAAUUUUACACUUUAGUGAAAGUGAUAAAUAUAUCGUAUUUAGUUAGUGAUUAGAAGGGUAUUAGUAAUGUAUUUAUCAAAUUAAUUAUAAAUUCGUCAUUUUAAAGUUGAUUUUACCCAGUUUUAAGGGGAGUUAGCGUAAAUGGAAGUGACCCUCUAGGCAAAUAUGGCAAUGUCCGAUUUACAACAGGUACCGUUGAGAAUUUGGAAUUAACAUCUUUGCUUGAUAAUCAUGUUGCAUUUCAAGUAUAUUUACGGUUAUUAUCUCAGAGUUAACAUUUCUAUAUAAAUUAGCAUUUAGUACAGUGUCCACAGAAUAAGGUUGAUUCAAAUGACUGAUAACCAAUUUAAAGUUCAUCAAUUGUUUUUUCUAUAUUUCUUUAUAGCCAUUAAAAUCAAUUCACACAAAGGACUAACUCAGUGCUCACACUGCAUUCUGUGCGCAAUUCUACUGCUUACUAAGUUUGUUCAAAUUAUACUUUUGGUAGAUUUUUUAACUUUAAUUUUUAGACCACAGUGUCUUUACUUGAUUCCUCAUUUUUAAGAAUUUGAUUAGAAAAUGUACUAGUCAGGUAUCCCAUACUCAAUAGACGCGCAUUAAAUCUUUUCUUUUUAACGUUUUUUAUUGUUUUUUAAUCUUUUCUUUUUCAUAAUUUAUGAUAUUUUUUUUUAAUGUGUGAAAACUUUUUGGACCAUGACGAACAAAAAAUGUCCUUUAAAUAUUUGUUUUUGCCGCCUUUGACGUUAUCAAAUCUAAACCUCAUGGUUCCAUGAUAAAUUUUAACCCUUAUCAAAUUAGCAUUUUAGCAGUAUCAUAUCUGCAAAUCAUACAUAUUUUUAAAAAUUGUUAAAAAGUUAUUAACUGUAAAGUUUUGCAAAAAUAUGUAAUCGUUUAUUCAUAAGAUUUUACUACCUGGGCAAUUAUUAAUUAGUGAUAAAUGAUUGCGGAUUUUAUAUAUUUCAAUUCAAUUCUAAGAUUUUACCAUUGUUAAUAUUGAUACCCUAGAUUUUAUCUUCUAGAAUCUUAUUUAUGUUA